AUGUGCCCUGCAUCAAGUUUGGUGAUGUUUGUUCACAUUCGAUGCAACGAGAGCGUCCACCACGGCUCGCCUCCGUCCGCGACUCCCCCGGGACUCGUCCGCGUCCGCGUCCGUGUCCGCAACCCCACCGCCUCCCCGCUGUACCACAUCUAUGUCGCCUCCCUUGCUGCCGCGGUGCCCGCCGCCGUCGUCUCCGUUGACUACCGCCUAGCGCCUGAGCACUGCAUCCCUGCCGCCUACGACGACACAUUCGCAGCCCUGAAGGUGGUCAUCGCCGCGUGCCGCGCGGAUGGCGCCGAGGCGGAGGCUGAGCCCUCGCUCGCCGCUCACGGCGACGUCUUCCGCAUCGUCCUUGCGGGGGACAGCGCCGGCGGUAACAUGGCGCACAACGUGGCGAUAAGGCUGCGCAAGGAAGGCGGCAUCGAGGGUUACGACGACAUGGUCAGCGGCGGCGUCCUCUUGUACCCUUAUUUCUAGGGGAAGGAGCUGCUGGGCGCGGAGCCCACGGAUCCCGGCUACCGCGCAAUAUUCGAUCCCACUUGGGAAUUCAUCUGCGGCGGAAAGUUCGGCCUCGACCACCACUACGUCAACCCAAUGGCAUCGCCGGAGGAGUUGAGGCAGCUCGGUACCCGCCGCGCGCUGGUGACCAUGGCGGACCAGUGCUGGUUCGUGGAGAGGGCAAGGGCGUACUCAGAGGGAAUCAAGAAGUGCGGCUCGGAGGAGGAGCUCGAGCUCUACGAGACCAAGGGUGAGGCGCCCGUCUUCUUCUUGCCUAAACACGACAACGAAAAAGCCGUGAAGGAGCUCGCCCUCGUGGCCGAAUUCGUCCGGCGCUGUUGAGUAUCAGCGUCAAAAUAGUGUUAUGAUCAGAAGAGUCCGCUCCGCUGCCAUGCGCUGUGCGCCCUGGCGCUCAUCGCGGCGUCCCACCCGCGCGAUGUUGUGGCCCCGCUCGUCCCGCGCAUCCUCGCCGCCGCUCUCUGCCGCGUUCGGGACCAGGACUCCUCCGUCCGCACCGCGGCGGUGGCCUCGGCCUCGACGUCCGCCGUGCUUCGGCCCCUCACGGACGCGCUCCUCCACGAGCAGGACCAGUGCGCGCAGCUAGCGGCCGCGCUCGCCAUGGCCGCUGCCGUCGAGGCGUCCGCCGUCACUGUCGACCUUGCUUCCUACCUCCACAGGCUCCAACCGCGCCUCCUCAAGUUACUUCGCAGCAACGCCUUCAAGGCGAAGCCCGCGCACAUCACCCUCAUCGGCGCCUGCGCGACCAUGGGCGCCGAUGUUGAAGUCACCGCCUCCAUCUCGUGCCUCCGCGAUGCAAUCGCUAGCGAUGACUGGGCAACGAGGAAGGCUGCGGCGGAGGCGCUUGCUGCAUUGGCCCUAGAGCACACGGAUCUUCUCACGACCUACAAAUCCUCUUGCGUCACCUUCUUCAAGGCCAGAAGGUUUGACAAGGUCAAGGUUGUGCGAGAGUCGAUUAACCGAAUGAUUGAGGCGUGGAAGGAGAUCCCGGGUGCUGAAGAGGACGAGUGAUCCUCCGCUCUGCCACCAGCGUCCCAGUCACAACGAAGAUCUUCUCUUACAUGUGAGGGGUAUCCCCUUCGUAGUUCUAACUGUACUUGGCUAAUUUCUACUACUUCCGCAUGUACAGAUCUGCUAAUCUUUUUCCUAUACCUUGUAAGAGGUAAAGAACUAAAUAAGAGUCUCUUGUUGUUUACUUAUAAACUCUUGAUGAACAGUUGGGUAAAUGCUACACCUAUUUCUUUUUUAUAUACAAAUUAUCCUGUAACUACUUAGGGAGUGCAAGUGAUGGGCGAUAUCCAGCUGCUUCACUGGGCUCAAACUCAGUUCCUUCAGCAACAAGGAAGAGCAUAUUAUCUGUAAGCAGAUCAUCUUCGCCUGAUGUGUCUACCAGUGUCACCAAAACAAAUAGUCCUUCAUCCAUCAGGAACAAGAAACUGUCACCGCCUUCAUAUCACAAAGUGCGCCAAGCAAAUAAUUGUGAUUACAAGGUCAACAUUGUUGUUUCUCCGGAUGCUACCCCAAUCAAAGUGGUGACAGAGGAGAAGCUGCUGAAAGGACGCGGUGUGAGAGACAGACUGGAGUCUAGGAGGACGCUCUUCAAAGGCAGCGAGGAUAGGUCGGCCAAGCUGGCUGCCCACAAAGCAGGGUCACGAGUUGUUCUGUACGAAGGUGGUGGUAAUUUGGAAUAGAUUUUAGAAGUUGAAGGUGGAUCAGAAAGGCAUGCAGUUCACAAAGAUGAGAGCUUGUCAGAAAUAAGGACACAGCUCCUUCAGAUUAAAAAUCAGCAAAGCAGUUUAAUGGAGCAAAUGAGUAUGUCACCAUUAAUGUUGAGUUAUCGAUCGAGUAGCUCGUUAAUUCAUUAAAAUUCCUUGCAGAUUCUGACUCUAAUGUUACGGUUUAUUUUUCUAGUAACCAGAGGAUGACAAGCCUGCUACAGGAGUUGGUCCUAAGUUAUACAAUAAGCCUGAUUUUUUUACAGAGUACACAAAUGCCAGGUUUUUCCUGUUUGGGCUAGCAUCACAAAUGGAAACAAAAAAUUGGACUCAGCCCAUCGUGAAGAUAUGAAGGAAGAGCACUAUCCCAUUAUUCUGUUUUUUCGGAAGAAGACCAUGUUUCUAGCAUGAACAUGCCAGCAUGGUGCCAUCAACAACUUCUCUGUUAGCUCACGGUACACCAUGCUCCAGCCUGCCCCUUGGUUAUCACUAAUUCAGUCAUCUGUGGUGCUGAUUGUGUUCCCAAGAUGCACUGAAAUAGAGCAAGAUCAAAUGAGGAUGAAGUUACUGUGUAGAGAUUUUUGUUCCCCCUUUGUAGCAGCAUCCAUGGAUUUUUAUUUGCGCAAAAUUACUCUCUUUUACUGGUUCAUUCAAUAAUUCAAUUUGUUGCUUGGAAACCACUGUAUAAUAAAUACAAAUGCUAUGGUAUGAUUUUGUGAA